rnacentral:lncRNA from 1 species
GCUCCUUGAAUCUGAUUUAGGAAUACACCCAACUAUCUCUAAUCCGAACGAUGCACCUAUAAGCUUAAUAUGACAGCUCCUAUGACAAUAAAAGAGCCAAUUACCCAAAUAUCUUUCAGGUACCCUGAAAUUAAGUGUUUCAACUAUACAAGGUUUGUUCUUACAUAACCUUUUUUAAAGUGUAUGAAAAUGUCCAUCAUCUUUGUGUCUCAUGGCAAUGUAGUCCGACAUCAACCGGACAGGACAAAUUGAACUAGUUUAUUCUUUUCCAGAAUUGUCGUUACUGAAUUACCCAGCUGAUCUGUUUUCUAAGAAGGAACUUUUAUAAUAAGUGACCCUGAAUAAGCAUCAAAUUAUAUCUUGGAUCGUUUUACAAUAAGAUUUUCAUUAAAACUUGAAUUUGCAAUUUCUCCAAAACUAAGAAACCCAAAAUUCUAGCUGAAAAUGAAGCUUUGAAUAAACAUGUUUCAUAUACUGAAUAACAAACUAAAUUAAGCGCAUCUAAAAGUCUAGUUAAUAUACCAAUAGUAAUAGGCUUACGACAGACGUGUCGCUUAUGUCACUGAGCAUCUUUUGAACAAUAAAAGAAUGAGUGUUGUCCAAUAAACCAUUGAUCUUAUGAUUAAACCUAAUGCCUGAAAGGUACGCAUUCCCAGUGGAAUAAGAAUAUUCAUCCUUAAACAUGUCAGCUACUAUUAACUAAAUGUGAAACGGGGCAUGGCCAUACGUCAUACAGGUUUAGUUUAUGUUUAAAGUUUUGAAAUUAAUUUAGUCCAUUUGAUACGUAAGCCAAGUAUUUGAAUAACUCUUGCACUACCGAUAAAGAGAUUUAAAACAGAACUCGACAACCACUUGUCACCCAAAAUAUAAGAAAUGCCAUUAUAAUUUCUAAAAUUAUUUUCCAAACACGUAGAUUAGAAAUAGGUCGAUAAUAAAAAGGCCCCGCAAUUCUACCAUUUUUCAAUUCACUCAUGAUUUUUCCAAGCUAAAUUUGGAUCUUGUAAAACAGACUUUAAUGUUUUGCUUGUAUGAUGUGCUCGAAAACCAUAUUUAAAACCAUUAUAUAAUAAAUUUGCCAAUAUUUUAACGGGGUAGUCAGUCAACAUAUUCCCUUAAACCGUAGUAUUAACAGGGGUACAACCAAAAAUACCAAAAAUCAUACUGUGAUUGCAAGCUGUAAACAAAAUUAUAAAAUUUGAAAUGAUUAAAUUGCAUCCGUGGAACAUUAGCCUGCUGACAGGGAAAUCUUUUAAAAU